AGGAUAAACGCUGGCGGCGUGCCUAACACAUGCAAGUCGAACGCUCUGCGCAAGCAGGGAGUGGCGGACGGGUGAGUAACACGUGGGGCAUCUACCCUUAAGUACGGAAUACCGGCGAGAAAUCGGCGACAAUACCGCAUACGCUUCUCUCGUAAGAGAGAAGGAAAGCUUGAAAAGGCGCUUGAGGAUGACCCUGCGGCUGAUUAGCUAGUUGGUGAGGUAAAAGCUCACCAAGGCGACGAUCAGUAGCUGGUCUGAGAGGACGAUCAGCCACACUGGGAUUGAGAACGGCCCAGACUCCUACGGGGGGCAGCAGUGAGGAAUUUUCGUCAAUGGGGGCAACCCUGAACGAGCAACGCCGCGUGUAGGAUGAAGGUCUUCGGAUCGUAAACUACUUUUCCCAGGGAAGAGAACGGAUGGUACCUGGGGAAGAAGCCCCGGCUAACUACGCGCCAGCAGCCGC
rnacentral:rRNA from 1 species